rnacentral:rRNA from 1 species
CCUACGGGAGGCUGCAGUGAGGAAUAUUGGUCAAUGGCCGGAAGGCUGAACCAGCCAAGCCGCGUGAGGGAGGAAGGCGCAGAGCGUCGCAGACCUCUUUUGCCGGGGGACAAAAGGCGGGACGGGUCCGGUUCUGAGGGUACCCGGAGAAAAAGCAUCGGCUAAUUCCGUGCCAGCAGCCGCGGUAAUACGGAGGAUGCGGGCGUUAUCCGGAUUUAUUGGGUUUAAAGGGUGCGAAGGCGGGCCUUUAAGCCGGCGGUGAAAUCGCGGGGCUCAACCCCGGCGAGCCGUCGAAACUGGGGGCCUUGAGUGCGGCGGAGGCAUGCGGAAUGCGUGGUGUAGCGGUGAAAUGCAUAGAUAUCGCGCAGAACCCCGAUUGCGAAGGCAACGUGCCGUGGCGCCACUGACGCUGAGGCACGAAAGCGCGGGUAUCGAACAGGAUUAGAUACCCUAGUAGUC